GCCCUCGUAGCUCAGUGGAUAGAGCACGGCUCUCCUAAAGCCGGUGUCGUAGGUUCGAUUCCUAUCGAGGGCACGA
rnacentral:tRNA from 2 species